CGUCUCGGGGUUGCGGUCAUACUCACAGAGUAGCGUUUCACUGUUCACCGUAGUUCAAACACCGUGUGUGUUUCCUGGUCUCGUGUUUCCUGUUUCACUUCCACCGAGUGUCUUACAAUACGCACAGUGCACUUUUAACAUCACACUGCACGUGAGGUCAUUUUAUAUUUCGUCUGUGUUUGGACGUAAUAGCAAUGCGCGUCCGUGUCGGACUCCCGUCCGGACGCUACAGAAGAAUCCGCCUGCUAAUAUGACUUCAGCAGAAUGGCGUGAACUGGCAGAUCUGACAGAGGCGAACCAAGAACAACUCCUGGUUUGCACAAACGUCGCUAGCCGCAUCACGGAUCAAUUGGAGCGGUUGACACGACUCCUCAGUCGCUGUGGGCAUGGCGCCGAUCCGACCAGUUCACAAACGCAUUAUCAGCAGACGUGUCUUGAUGCCCCCUCGGGUCCCCGCGCUGAGCCUGCGGUUGCCCUAUGUGACAGUGAGCCGGCUAAAGCACGCAACCUUGUCAGCUGUGCAAGGCUCGAAGAACAGUGCGUCAGGCAGGGAGUAAUACGACUCAGUAAUGGGCGUUUGACAGAGGAGGAAAGGAGGCGCCGUUUUCUGCAACGCUUGUGCUUUUACUGUGGAGCUGCGGAUCACGUUCAGGUUUCCUGUCCAGUGCGGCCACCCCGUGGAUCCCAAUGGACCGACUUACUGUUGGGCAUGCUACCCUGAGAAGAAACCAGAGGAAGCACAUUCCCAGAGAGAUUCUGCUUCCCAGCCCUUCUCUGCAUCAAGUUCCUCACUAUUGUCUGUCAGCAGUUAAUCUUUGUAAGAUUGGAUAUUUAAUCUGUCCACAGACCUGUCAACUCCCCCAUUUCCAUAAAGGUUGUUCUGUUCCUACCCUGAUCUCCUGUUUUGUCUGCUCCCGUUCUUCCUGUUGUGUUCCUGGUCCUGUGCUUUAGUUUGUUGUCAUGCCACUUUGUUGAAGUCCUGUCAUCUCUCUGUUUCACUCCAGGUGCUUGGUGAAGCACUCGUUACUUCCCUUUGUUCUGUGUUUAUUCUAGCACACCGACACUUUAUUUCAUAAGUUCAUGAUGUGCUGUUCAGAUCACAACCCCUUUCGUCCGAAUUCAGAUGUUACAGUAAACAGCAUCUGCGUCACUGUUUCGUCUG
rnacentral:lncRNA from 1 species